rnacentral:sRNA from 1 species
ACUUGAACCAGUUUUGAGAACAUUUGAAGAGAUAACUUUUCUUGAAGCUGUUAUUCAGCUAAAGAAAACAAAGAUUUUAAAGACAUUUCCAGGACCAGGCGUGGUGACUCACACCUGUAAUCCCAGCACUUUGAAGGUCAAGGCAAGUGAAUCACUUGAGCCCAGGAGUUCGAGACCAGCUGGGCCACAUAGCAAGACCCCACCUUUAUUUAAAAUGUAAAAAAAAAAAAAAAGACAUUUCCAGAACCCUUAUAUAUCAGAUGUAAAUUUAAAAAUGUGUAAUCACAGCCAGUUGUGUACAAUGAAUGCACUGAGCCAUUAGAGGUGUUUGUUUGUUUUUUAAUGUACAUUUAUUUUCCCAAAGUUGUAAUGCCUAGAGAAUAAUAGAUGUCUGGGUUCUCGCACUUCUCUUUUUAUUUAAUGUACAUUUUUUUCUGAGAUUCCUUGCCAAGUUUAGCUGUAGAAUUUUUAUUAAAUUUGAGACC